GCGCACGCGACCUGGGGCUCGUGCGCAAACUCGGUUCUGCUGCCCUGACUUGUGCGCUGAUGUUGUAUCUUCGAGGGCCUGACUUCUCGGAGAUGAAAACGCAGUAAGAGAAGCUACAUCCCACGGAAGGAAGAAAGAGAGCGCCGGGCUCCGCGACCCUGCCGGCCCCCACGUCGGCGGGCCGGGUUCAGCUCCAGCCCAGGCCGCCGCCCCCGCGCCCCGGCCCGCAUCCGGAAAGCACCCUCGCGGCUUCUCUGGGUCCUGGCUUUCUGGGCCCCUGAAAGGGAGGAAAGGCUCAGAUGGAGAUGUUGACGGUGCCCGGCACAAUCUGUGUUACCUCUCCCGGGGACUCCAGAGAAACCUUAAAACCUGAGUUCCUGGCCGUGAUGGGAGGUUGGACACACCUCUACCCUGUUCCUUUUGUGAUUGAGACGCAACUGACCACAGCUCUGGGGUGAAAGUUCAAUUGCCAUUCAUCCAAGACUGCCAAGAAAGCCUGGAGUUAGGUUGAAAGAGUGACUUAAAUGAGUUUCUUUAAAUAUCUGUUAAGUAAAAGAUGGAUAAUCUGUUAAAGUUUAAAUCAGUCUCUUCAAGCUGCUGAGUCAAAAUUUGGAAAGAUCCCACCCUUUUUUAUUCCCUUUUCCCUAAGAGAACCCUCAGAUUGGAAAAAUGAUGAAAACAGUGAACUUGGUGUCAAGAAGUCAAGGUUCUGGUUUUGACUGUGUGACUUGGGACAAGAAUCAAUGGGUCUUAAUUUUCUUACCUAUACAGUGACAUUAUUUGUACUACUCACUUUUUAAAAUUCCUUUCAGUUCCAGGAUUCUGUGAGGGUAAACUGUAGAUUUUUGUGAUUCUAUGAACAGUAUCUUAGGGAAUUAAAAAGAACGAACCUGUUACCUAUUCUACAACACUUAUUUCCCUUGCUCCUUAAGUUGGACUUCAUUACAUUAAAUUGAAACGUUUUAGUGUUCUGUCAUUUUAGGAAAUGGCUAGCAGGUUGUUUCUAAAAAUUAUAGGUAACUUCUCUUUUCUAAACAUUCGCUUUUGCUGGCCAUUAUGAAGGGAGGUACAGUAGCUGAACAGACAUUGAAUUCCCAUUCUCAAAGUCAACACUCUGAUUGUGCCUCCAUUUAAUUAGCUCUGAACAAAAGUAACGUAAAAGACCUUUGAAGACUCUUUAAAAGUUGCAAGUGUCUGUGAUAUUUUUUCUCCCAUUGCCAUCUUAACUCUCUCUCCCAUACACAAACUUUGCUUGUAGUGCAUGUGUGUUUAGGUUUGUUCAUUAACACCAGAAUGGAAUACCACUAAUCUGGGCAGAUAGUGCUUUUACAACGUUAAUUCACAUUUCCCAUCCUUGAUCCUGAGGGAGAGAAGAGGUGAGUAUUGCUCUUGCAGAAAUUGCAUAGAGGAAGCACGGGUAGAGGUUACCUCUAGACACUUAAA